rnacentral:rRNA from 1 species
AAUUAAAUUUUAUUUAUUAAUUAAAGUUUUUUUUAGUUAAAAAUUAUUAAAAAUAAUUAUAUUAUGAAUAGUUUUAGUAUUGUAUAAAGAAAAAAUAAAUUUAAUAAUAGUUUAUUAGUAUUGUAUGAGAAUAUUGAAAUAUUUUGAAAAAUUUUUAUAAAAAAAGAAAAUUUAAUUUAUUGUACCUUGUGUAUCAGGGUUUAUUAAUUAAAAAAUAAUUAUAUUAUUUUUUUCGAUUUUAAAAGAUUUAAUAAAUUAUGUUAGUUAAUGUAAUAAAAUUAUUAAAAAUAAUUUAUUAGAAAUGAGAUGUUAUUCGUUUUUAAAGGUAUCUAGUUUUUUAAGAAAUAAAUUUAAUUUAGUUUUUAUAAUAUUAUAAUUUUAUUUGUUUAAUAUUAUGAUUUAUAAAAAUAAUAUUUUAUGGGAUAAGCUAUAAAAUAAAUUUUUAAAAAUAAUUAAAUAAUUAAUAAAACAUAUGCUUAGAAUUAGCAAUUGUUAAUAAAUAUGUUAUAGUUUAUUUUAAUAUAUAAAUUAUUUAUUAUAUUUUAAGUUUUUUAUUAAAAUAUUUAUUUUAAUUUUAAAAAUAAAGUAAUAAUGAUAAAAUUAGUAUAUAUUUAAUGUAUAAAUAAUAUAUAAUAUGAUAAGUUUUUAUAAAGAAUUCGGCAAAAAUAAUAUUCGCCUGUUUAACAAAAACAUGUCCUUUAGAAUUAUAUUUAAGGUUUGACCUGCCCACUGAAAUUUUUUAAAUGGCCGCAGUAUUUUAACUGUGCAAAGGUAGCAUAAUCAUUAGUCUUUUAAUUGAAGGCUUGUAUGAAUGGUUGGACGAAAUAUUAACUGUUUCAUAUAAAUUUAUGUUAGAAUUUUAUUUUUUAGUCAAAAAGCUAAAAUUUAUUUAAAAGACGAGAAGACCCUAUAGAUCUUAAUAAUUUUAAAAUUUUAGUUAUAAAGAUGAUUUAAAUUAUAAUUUAUAAAAUUAUUUUAUUGGGGUGAUAUUAAAAUUUAUAAAACUUUUAAUUAAUUAAUAAACAUUUAUUUAUGAUUAAUUGAUCCAUUAUUAGUGAUUAAAAAUUUAAGUUACCUUAGGGAUAACAGCGUAAUUUUUUUGGAGAGUUCAUAUCGAUAAAAAAGAUUGCGACCUCGAUGUUGAAUUAAGAAAUAGUUUUGGGCGCAGCCGUUCAAAUUUAAAGUCUGUUCGACUUUUAAAUUCUUACAUGAUUUGAGUUCAAACCGGCGUGAGCCAGGUUGGUUUCUAUCUUUAAAAAACUAUAAUAUUUUAGUACGAAAGGGCCAAAUAUUAGAAAAAUUAUUUUUUAAAAAAUUGAAUUAAAUUAAUUUUAUUUA